rnacentral:rRNA from 1 species
CCCUUAGAUGUUCUGGGCCGCACGCGUGCUACACUGAGUAAAUCAAUGGGUAAGGGAACACGAAAGUGCAACCUAAUCUUGAAAUUUGCUCGUGAUGGGGAUCGACGGUUGCAAUUUUCCGUCGUGAACGAGGAAUACCUUGUAGGCGCGUGUCAUCAUCACGCGCCGAAUACGUCCCUGCCCUUUGUACACACCGCCCGUCGCUCCUACCGAUUGAGUGAUCCGGUGAGGCUCUGGGACCUGGACGGAAAGAGCGUUUCGCUUGUUCUGUUUGGGAAACUUGGUCGAACCUUAUCAUUUAGAGGAAGGUGAAGUCGUAACA